UAGGGAAUCUUCCGCAAUGGACGCAAGUCUGACGGAGCAACGCCGCGUGAGUGAAGAAGGAUUUCGGUUCGUAAAACUCUGUUGUUAGAGAAGAACAGCGCAUAGAGUAACUGUUAUGCGUGUGACGGUAUCUAACCAGAAAGCCACGGCUAACUACGUGCCAGCAGCCGCGGUAAUACGUAGGUGGCAAGCGUUGUCCGGAUUUAUUGGGCGUAAAGCGAGCGCAGGCGGUCAAUUAAGUCUGAUGUGAAAGCCCCCGGCUCAACCGGGGAGGGUCAGUGGAAACUGGUUGACUGGAGUGCAGAAGAGGAGAGUGGAAUUCCAGGUGUAACGGUGAAAUGCGUAGAUAUAUGGAGGAACACCAGUGGCGAAGGCGACUCUCAGGUCUGUAACUGACGCUGAGGUUCGAAAGCGUGGGUAGCAAACAGG
rnacentral:rRNA from 1 species